CUACGGGAUGCUCCAGUUAGGAAUAAUCUACAAUGCGCGAAAGCGUGAUAGUUUGAGCCAGAGUGUUUUUCAAUUGAAAGACUUUUGUGAAAUGUAAAAAGUUUCACGAAUAAGGACUGGGUAAGACUAGUGCCAGCCGCCGCGGUAAUACUAGCGGUCCAAGUCGCAACCAUUUUUAUUGGGUCUAAAACAUCCGUAGCUUGCUUGACAAGUCUUCUGUGAAAUUUUACGUCUAAAACGUAGAGUGCGCAGAAGGUACUAUCAAGCUAGAGACCGGAAGACGUAAGAAGUACAUUCAGAGUAGCGGUUAAAUGUGUUAAUCCUGGAUGGACUAACAAGAGCGAAGGCAUCUUACGAGGACGGUUCUGACAGUAAGGGAUGAAAGCUAGGGGCGCAAAUGGGAUUAGAUACCCGGGUAGUC
rnacentral:rRNA from 1 species